rnacentral:rRNA from 1 species
GACGAAGGAUGCAAGCGUUAUCCGGAUUCAUUGGGUUUAAAGGGUGCGUAGGCGGACUGGUAAGUCAGUGGUGAAAUCUCUUUGCUUAACAAAGAAACUGCCAUUGAUACUGCUAGUCUAGAGUAUAGAUGACGUUGGCGGAAUAUGACAUGUAGUGGUGAAAUACGUAGAUAUGUCGUAGAACACCGAUUGCGAAGGCAGCUAACGGAACUAUAACUGACGCUGAGGCGCGAAAGUGUGGGGAUCAAACAGG